UUGGCAAGUUGCGACAACGGACGCCGCUCCACUCCCUAUGGCAGACUCCAUGUGGCGCGCUUCGGUGAUAGCCACGGGUCUACUCCACUACUCUUCACAACAAACUCUUCUUGACCCUGGGCAGCCCACUACCAGAUGGUUACAGAUGUCGCUAUCAGCUUGCAGCCCCCUCCGCCUAUAAAAGGGGACCCCAGAUAUGUUAUUCGAUAAGCUCUGGUUUUUACCUAGAAACUCUGCUAAAAUUUUUGUUCGAGCACUCCAUUCUUGUUGA
rnacentral:lncRNA from 1 species